CAGGAGGAUAUUGUAAGUCAUUUUACGUUUUUAAAUUUUAAAUUUUAAAUUUAUAUAUAUGUGAAAAUGUUAAUUAAUUAUUUUUUUCCUAUCCAAUUAGGCGAAGGUGAGGGAGGCUAGUGACGAGGUGAUGAGUGCUAUAGUGAGGGAGACAUGGCCGGACACGCAGGAGGAAGAGAUGUCCGAAGCCAUGUCCCGGAUCGACACUUCGGAUCCGACGAUUGGGGCGAGGAUCAUGGGCACAGCCUUCCCACCGAGAGCAAACAACUUCUACUGCCGGGGUCUAGGAAAGAAAGGCGAGGGGGUCCUGAAGACCACUCCAGGAUUUCAAAGAAAGGCAGCAUCGACCAGCAGCAGGACCACGUCCACGAUCACCAGGACGACUCAGCUAGAGUCGGAAGUUCAGAGACUACGAGAACAGCAAGCUGCUCAGGAAGCCUAUAAUGUCUCGCAGGCGGCCUAUAAUGCCUCGCAGGCGGCCUAUAAUGCCUCGCAGGCAGCCUAUAAUGCUGCGCAGGCAGCCUAUGUUGCCGAGAUACAUGCCAUCCAGCAGGCCCAGCAGCAGCAGAUGUUCCAGUACAUGCAGGACUUUACAGCUGCCCAGCUUCAGGGACUUCCGCCUCCGCCCAUGCCUCCGCCCACUGCCGCUACCCCAGCCGCCGCAACCUCCGCCGCAACCUCCGCAGCAACCUCCGCAGCAACCCCCAGAAGCGGAUAUUAAUUUAGACGAUUUAGAUUUUUAUGUAGUUGAUGAAUUAUAUACUUUUAUGUGCUUGUUGGUUAUAUGGAAUAUGGAAUUGUUUUUGGUAUAUUUUGCAGCUUGCUUGGGAAUGGUAAUUCAGAAAUUCGGGGUUUUUUUUUUUUACUGGAAAGGACUUAUAGCCGACGAAAAAAAGCUUUAAUUCGUCGGCUAAAGUUUUUUUUAAAAUAACUUUUUAGCCGACGAAAUAUGCUCUAAUUCGUCGGCUAAAUACCUAUAAAGCCGACGAAAUAUACUAUAUUUCGUCGGCCAUAGAUCUUUUUUAUUUUUUAUUACAAACUU
rnacentral:lncRNA from 1 species